AACGAUGAUCACUAGCUGUUUGCGAUACACUGUAAGCGGCACAGCGAAAGCGUUAAGUGAUCCACCUGGGGAGUACGCCGGCAACGGUGAAACUCAAAGGAAUUGACGGGGGCCCGCACAAGCGGAGGAACAUGUGGUUUAAUUCGAUGAUACGCGAGGAACCUUACCCGGGUUUGAACGCAUUCGGACCGAGGUGGAAACACCUUUUCUAGCAAUAGCCGUUUGCGAGGUGCUGCAUGGCUGUCGUCAG
rnacentral:rRNA from 1 species